rnacentral:rRNA from 1 species
UACGAAGGGGGCUAGCGUUGCUCGGAAUUACUGGGCGUAAAGCGUGCGCAGGCGGUUCGCCAAGUCAGGUGUGAAAUCCCCGGGCUUAACCUGGGAAUUGCGCUUGAAACUAGCGGGCUUGAGUGUGGCAGAGGGGGUAGAAGUUCCACGUGUAGCAGUGAAAUGCGUAGAGAUGUGGAGGAACACCGAUGGCGAAGGCAGCCCCCUGGGUCAAGACUGACGCUCAUGCACGAAAGUGUGGGGAGUCAAACAGG